rnacentral:lncRNA from 1 species
GUGGGAGGAGGCCUGUGCAACGAGCAGAACCACAAAGCAUAGUUCUCUUGCAUAAACAUAACAAGAAGCUGCCAAUGGCGCCUGAAAUUCAUAAUAACUUAACUAUUAUAUAUUAAAAUCACAUAUGGAACUUUAUUAUGUUAAUAAAGUUUACUUACCCGGAUAUAUAAGGCAAAAAGUAUAUUUUCUUGCCGCUUCCAAAACUUCUUAUCAGAUUUGUGUUGAUCUGAUCAAAAUCAUUUGAUUCAUGAAUUGAUUGGGGAUCAAUGAAUCCAUAAUCAUCAAAACGCCCCAACUUGUUACUGACCCUAGACAUAUACCUGAAAUCAAAAAUUAACUUUGAUAUAAGGAUACUUGAUAUAUAAAUCAAUUUUAUAUAUAAAUAAUUGCUCAUAGAAUUACAUAAUCCAUAGUUGAAUAAUUGAAAUAUUCAACUCUUGUGUUCCCGAUGCAAGCUCACUGACAUCUUGGCUAUGAAGGUAUAUUGGGACCUCAGAGCCUGUCCCAAAUACAUUAGCAUCAUUCUCAACCUCCAAAGGCUUAUCUUCAAGGAUGUCAGCAAGUAGAUGCAAUGAAGCAAGAGGAUCAUCCUCAGAUAGAGGAAUCUUCUCCUGUGCUUGCGUCUGUUGUUACAUGAAAAAAAUAAGAUAAGUUUUGACAU